UACGUAGGGUGCGAGCGUUAAUCGGAAUUACUGGGCGUAAAGUGUGCGCAGGCGGCCGCGCAAGUCGAGUGUGAAAGCCCCGAGCUUAACUUGGGAACUGCGCUCGAAACUACGUGGCUGGAGUGUGGCAGAGGAAGGUGGAAUUCCAGGUGUAGCGGUGAAAUGCGUAGAGAUCUGGAGGAACACCGGUGGCGAAGGCGGCAUCCUGGACCGGUAUUGACGCUGAGGCGCGAAAGCCAGGGGAGCAAAGCGGG
rnacentral:rRNA from 1 species